AUGGUUAUUGGCAUUUGUUGUUCUUGUGAUGAUACUGUUAUGCUCCCUUUGCAUCAUUUAUCUCAUAUGCCAUGCCAUGACCACCUAGCUUCGGAUAUGCAUUGUUUUGGAUGUUGUCCAUUUUCUCCAUAUGAUGUUUCCAAUAUUGCUCAUGAGGAGACCCCCAUAGUUUCCUCAUACAUUUUAGGAGAUUUUGAUUCAUCCUAUCCAUUGCAUGAUCCCAAUACUUGUGUGCAUAAUAUGCUUCCCAUGAAUGAAAGUGCUAUUGAUGUGCCAUAUAAUUAUAUGCUCAAUUUGCAUCCCCAUCGUGUCAUACAUAACAACUAUUCUUUCAUGAUGGAUGACAUGUUCUUAUACCAUGCAUCAAAUUUCUUUGAGCGAUGCUUAUCUUGUGCUAACUCUCACGUGCACAUACACAUCAUGAUGGAUGAUGUGUACAUUUACCACACGCACAAUUUCUUUGGUUUGUGUCUCUUUUGUGUAGGUACCCAUGAAUACUUGUCAACCUCGCACUCCCACGAGUUGAAAAAACGAGCUCUAGAGAGCAAUGAUGACUUGGGAUCCCAUAGGUUGUCUUUCCCACCGCUCUCUUCACGCGAAGUCUUCGCGCAUUUCUUCUACAUGGCUCUCACAUGGUUAUGGGUUAUUGUCCAUUACAUAUUCUAUGCCCAUCUUGCCAUGUUCACUUUGCAUGAUAUGCUCAUUCCUAUGCCUUUGCCAUGCAUUUGUGACCCAUGCUUUGCAUUACACAUGAUGAUUGAUUCUACUACUUGUAUGUGUAUUUGCAAGCUUGGUGGAGAUAUUGCUUGUUAUCACCAUGUUCCAUUUGUGACCCAUCCCUAUGAUGAUACUAUGAUCUUGCUUUGUGUUCGUGCUUGCGAUAUGUCAUGUGCAUUGCUUAUGCCUAUUAUUUGCUCACAUGACAUGAUUGCCAUGAUUUCCUCUAGUAUGUUGCAUCUUCGCACUACUAGCUUGCACGACUUGAUUACUAUGAUUGCUUGCCUUGUUGCAUCACCGAUGAUUCAUACUUGCUCAUUUCAUGUGGUUGAUGACAACCAUCUACAUGCUUUGCACAUGAUUGUUAUUGCUUCUUGCCAUAUAUCUCCAUGCGUUGCCUCUCUCAUGCUAAAUGAUUUGCCAUGUAUUGAGUGCAACAAUGCUUUUAGUCUUGCUAAUGAGAUUGCCCCCAUAGCAUUCUCACAUAUAUUUGGAGAUUUUGACAUAUUCCUUGUUAAGCAUGCUUGUCAUACCUCUUUGCACCAUAUACCUUGUGCCAUGAAUAUCGCCAUUGUUGCAUCAUAUUAUUCAUGCACUUGUGCUUCUAAUGGUUAUGUGCAAGAGAAGAGAACCAUCAUGAUGGAUGAUGUGUUUAUCUACCAUGUGCAUACGUUCUUUGUCUUGGUUUGUGCAUGUGUAGGAACCUUGGACCUCGUGUCAACUUCCACGUCAUGUGAGUUGACAAUCCGAGCUCUUGAGAGUGAACCACCUUCUACCACGACGAUUCUACAUCGCACUUGCUUGUGCUUUGGCAUUGUGAAUAAUACACAAGGACACACCUUCAAGGUGACAUCUUUCUUGAGCAUGGAUAUUGUGGAUCAUACUACUUGUGUUGCUUGCACCAUUUUCACCAUUCCAUGCAUCACGAUAUAUAUGCCUUGUGUGUUGCAUCCAAUUCUUGGAUUACUUGCUCCUAUCACAUGUUUGGUUGCAACAAUGUCAUUCCUUCACAUAUGCCAUGUCCCAUUGAUUGCUACAUGCUUGCCUUGA
rnacentral:rRNA from 1 species